CCUGGCCGCCCGGUCCGGGCCCCGGCCGGAGCGCCAGUCGACAUGGACCCAAACCCGGGUUUGACUCCUUCACGCAGCACGGCUUGGCCCCGGAGGUGCCGCUGGCCACCCUCCUGGAACCAAAGACGGGUAUCUAGGGUCCCGAAAACCGCAUCCCCAAUAAUCUUCGUGAACCUUUCCCGGCAAUAUUGUAGAUGUGGCACCCGGCCCAGCCACCGGGGGCAACCACCAAAAGUGUCUGCCUUCCUGGAUUGAAGGGCCGGGCACGGCCCAUUUCAAGAACCUCAUACAGACUUCCGGGCGAGUUCAGGCACCAGGUCAACCCCAGGUCAUUGAGGAUCCUCAACCUAUUCUCCAGAUCAUCUGUUAUCCUGCCUCGCUUGCCAUCAUCUACAGAUUUCCCAAGUGUAUGCUCAGUUGCUUGAGACCUCUAGGACACAUGUUAUGCAGACUGGGAGCUAGUCUUCCCGCAGGGAGCAAAUAUGUUUUACGGGAUGAACAGCCAGUGCAGUACAGACCUCAUCCUGCGAAGAAAGCCCUGUUUAAUUUUCGGCCCAUGGCCCGAUGAGCACAAGAAGAGGAGGCGCCUACCCAGGCUCUUUCGAAGUGGCCGGAGCAGACGCAGACGCCUAAGUUUCUAAGGAGCUGCCGUGAAUCCCAUUGCCAGGCUGGGGGA